rnacentral:sRNA from 1 species
CGGGGAGUCAGCUUACCUUUCACGGCGAAAGUCGGAAUUUCAUGCACAUCUGUAUUCGCGACUUCGUCAGCAUCGAUCGACACUGGGCA